GCUCGGGGGUUUCUAGCAGGACUCUGUCGGUUGGUUAGCGGGCCAUUGUUAACCCUCUUCCUGGGCUUUCCUGGCCCCAGAACUAGCCCGGAGCCUUGCGGAUGGCAGUGAGAGCUGCGGAAGGAAACCUCUUUACUCAGCCGCUCUGGGCAGCCUACCGGGCUCCGAAACUCCCGAGGCAAAGCCGGAAGAACCUCUCCUUCCCUCCGUCCCACGGAAGGAGCUCCGACUAGGGGAAAGUCCUGAAGGGAGAAAUCUCCAAGGCAACGAGGAAUUUCAAACGGCCGAGGCUAUCCAGAUCAGCAUCGGCAUCUUUCAGUUGUUCUUGGGGAUCCUGUGGUUCUACCUCUACCUGACCCAGUUUGCAGACUCUUUUCUCACUUACAAGACCUUAAUUUGGAAUGCGAAAUACCCAUUAUUAUCAGCGUUUAUCUACACCUUUGCAGGACUCCUUACCAUCAUCACAGAGAAGAAACGCCAGCGUUUUCUGGCAAAGAUCACAGUGGGGAUAAACAUCAUGGGCAUCAUCUAUUCCGUCUAG
rnacentral:lncRNA from 1 species